GCUCAGAAGUAACAUAAAGAGUGGUUUCUGAUUUCAAAGAAAUGUUUCAAAGUCUUUAAAGUGUGCCCAUGUGUUUUUCCUAUAUGGUAUGUAAACUAUUUUAUGAAUUACUUUGACUUAUGUUGUAUAAAAGAACAUUAUUUUGGAUUGUUCUAUGUACCAGUACAAUUUUACUGACCCCUUAUAUUUCAAGAUCUGAGACACAUCCUGGGGUCCCGCUAAGCAGUAGGUUGACUUAUUCAG
rnacentral:lncRNA from 1 species